UAAUUUUAUGUUACAAAAAAUAUUCUAACACCCACAAACUUGACAUUCUAGAUCCGCCACUACCAAAAACACCACCAAAAUCUUACUCCAGCUGAAACUUGAGCUCAAAGCAGCCCCAAAACCCAUGUAAAACUCCAUUAAAAUAGGCCCUUAAACCACCGGAAAAUAGCUGGCAAAAUGGCUUCAAAAUCUGUCCAAACUCCAUUAAAGCACCUCUAGAACAGCUUUGAAAUCAGUUGUUUUCCUCCAUAAAACCCAGCUGAAAAGUUCACUAAACCAACUCCUAAAACCAGCAAAACACCAGGUCAUAACCAAGGUAAAAAACCCCACUCAAAAAUGCCUCCAAAUCUGCCGCUAUAGUGAAGUCGCGUUAGAGUUCCGUCCGUCGGGUUUGCCACCGUCGUUGGAGUUUCGGUUGUGCUUAUGCGAUUCUCAUUCCUUUUAGUUCUUAACAAACAACCAAAAAUCCAGCAGUCUUAAAGAAUAUAUAUAUCUAUAUAUAUACACACACAAACGAAAAGGAAAAAAAGAAGAAAAAAUUGUUCCUUCCCCUGUUCUGAUUGUAUAACGUCGAGAUGAAGAGAGAAAGAAAGAAGAAAACUGAAGAAGAAGAAGAGAAAGACCGAUUGGUCGACUGGUUUGAAGAAGAAAGCAGAAGAAAGAAAAACGAAAAAAACGAAAGAAAUUACCUGGUUGGUCUUCGAGGUGACUGUUCAGGCGACCGAAGAAGAAGAAGAUGGAACGCUAGCCUUUUUUGUUGACUGAAGAAGAAGAGUCACUGGUCAUCAGGGGUGUUCAAAAUCGAUUCGAAACCGAAAAUCGAUUCAAAAUCGAAGCUUAAUGGCUUACUGGUAACGGCUUAAUGGCUUAACGGACGGGGAAAAGAUUGAAUUUUUUUUAUUAACAAUUUAUCGGUUUGGGGAUG
rnacentral:lncRNA from 1 species